rnacentral:rRNA from 1 species
GGCGGGGGGGGGGCACGGGGGGCCUACGGGAGGCAGCAGUGGGGAAUUUUGGACAAUGGGCGCAAGCCUG